GGCUGAGUCUCAAACUCCUGGACUCAAGUAAUCCUCCCACCUUGGCCUCCCAAAUUGCUGAGAUUACACGUAUAAGCCACUGCACCUGGCUGGUUGUUGCUUUCUGCAUCUAAGAAAUAUUUGUCCACUUUCGUCACUGUGGAUAUUCUGGUAUGUUUCUCUCUCAAAGCUUUAUGGUUUUAGCUAUUGUAUGUAGGUCUAUGAAUUUCUCUAUGGUAUGAGAUAGGAGUUGUGGGUCUUUUUUUUUUUUUUUUUUUGCAUAGGAAUAUCCAAUUAUCCUAACACCACUUGCUGAAAAAAUUUCACGUUAGCCACUGAUCAUAUAAAUGUGAUGUUUCUUGGAUUUCUAUUCUGUCCCAUGGUUGUACUUGUUAUCAUCAUGCCAGCACCACACUGUCUUGAUUAUUUUAAGUUUUGAAGCCAAACAGGGCAUAUCUUCCAACUUUUUAUUUUUUAAGUUUGCUUUGCUUAUUCAAGGUCCUUCUCAUUUUCAUAUUUAAUUUAGAAACAGUCUGUUGAUUUCUACAGAAAAAAAAGUCCACUGAGAUUUUGAUUGGGAUUGCAUUGAAUUGAAAAAACCAAUUUGGGUAGAAGUGAAUGUUAGCACUGAGCCUUCCAGUAUGUGAACAUGAUAUGUCUCACUGUUUAUUCAAGUGUUCAUUAAAUUUUUCAGCAAUGUUUUAUGGUUUUUACUGUAAAGUUCUGGUCAUCUUUUAUUAAAUUUUUUCCUAAGUAAUUUUAAUUUUUUAAUUUUCUACUGUAAAUGGGACUGGGCUUUUGGUUUCAUUUUCCAAUUGCUGGUUGCCAGUACAUAAAAUACAACUCACUUUUGUAUAUUGAGCUAUGUCCAAUGACAUUGGUAAGUCAAAUCCACUUAUUAGUGCUAAUAAUUGUUUGUAUAUUUCUUAGAAUUUUCUAUAUAAAAUCAUGUCACCUACAAACAGAAGCAAAUGUAUGUCUUACUUUUUUUUCUUUAAACCUCUUUCUCCUCUGUCUAUUGCAAUGAUGAGGACCACCAAUACAAUGCUGAACAAAAGAGCUUGAAGACAGCCUAUUGUGGGACCUUGCGAUUGUAUGUCAUCUUCUACUUUGCUCUCUGCCAAAUGCCAGUCCCGUGAUACAGAGAAGGAAAUGUGGGCAGGAGCCACUUGCCCUGGCCCUGCAUGAUUGCAGUCAUCUAGGCCCCAGCCAAGGGAGCAACAGGUCAAGGGCAGAAGCUUCAGAAACUAAAGUGGUUUGGCAUGGCCCAAAAGUGGCCUGUGACUGAGGGAGAAGAGAGGAAAUGAUGAGAGGAGCUCAUUGUUGAGGUGAGUGUGGAGAGCUGUAGAGGUUAAAGUUUAAAUCCUGAGGGAGGUGGGAAGCUGCUCCUGGGAAUGACAGUGUCAGGUGUGCUGUUUCAGAAAGAUCACAUUGGCAGUAGGGUAAGGGCGUUCCAUAGGAGGCAGGGUAGGCAAGAAUUCCAGUUUGGAACUGCCCAGAUGGGAAAGGAUUGCAGGGGGCCUCACUGGGACAGCAGCGAGAGAUGAAUCUGAGAACAUUUAGGUGUGACAGGAGGCAAGGUCAGAUGAUCAACCAGAUGUUGGGGGUUGAGGAGUGGAAAGAACCAAGGGUGACUCUCGGUUUCUAACCUGGGUAUCUGGUUGGAUAAUGGAACCCUGGAUUAGGUAGAUAACCCUGGGUGGGAGCAGUGCUGGGAACAGAGAUGAUGAACUUGGCCUUAGAGCCCUGCAGACUUUGAUGUACAGAUGCAGGCCCUAAAGUGGGGAUAUCCAACAGUUACUUGGCUCUACUAGUGUACAGGCUUGGAGUGAGACCCCCAGAAGAAUAGCCCUAUCCUGUGGUUUCUCCUCCAGGACCAAAUCCUCCUGCCUCUUGUACCCUCAUGGAAUGGCUGGGAUUAUGUCAUGAAUUAACACAUCUAUUUCCCAAAGCUACAGUGUGGCCUCGCCCUUCCUGUGCCAGGCUGCACACGUGAGCAGUCAUGCUACGUAUCUUAGUGGAGGCAGGAACACUAGACUUUCCCCACUGUUCCUGCCCAUUAAACGUGGCAUGUAAACAACAACUCACCUUUAUCCUCUCCUUGGAGAGAAAAUAGGCAGUGGCAUGAAGCACAUCAGCAGAAUGUGUAGAAUUGUGGUAGGGAUUGGAAGAAUGAUAAUUGGCUUCGAUAAUUUGUAACCAUGAUCUUAGUGUUGACUCAGAGCAGUGUAAGAAUUCACAGAUUCCAAAGCGAGCAAACAUUUUGAGACCAAGAUAAAUCAAAGGCCUAUAGAAAGAAAAAACCCCACAAUAUUAGAACAAAAGCAAACAAAUAGGCCAAGUGUUUGAGGCCUGAAUAGGUUCCAAGCCAAAUUUCAGGGAGUGCAGGGCAGCAGAGUGGAGAUUGCUUGGGCUGUGCUGGCCUCUCUCUGGUGGAGCAAACAAACUUUGGUUCCACUUCUUGCCCUCAGGAGACCAUGAUGCACAGGUAAGAACUGGCUGUCCAUAGCAGCUCUGGCCUCAGCCUCGUUGGGGCUCCUGAUUUGCUGGGGGGAGUUUGCUCAUUCUGUCCUUCCAGGUUCAGCUUCCUACUUGCACUACUGAAUUUGUCACAACAAUCCUUUUUCCAGGUUAAGCUUGUACCACCUUGAACACCAUCCUCUCCUUUGGACUUGCUGGACCAAUGCCAUUGGCCAGACACCCUGCCUAUAAGAAAACAUUUCCUGAAAAUGUCCUAUGAGCCAGAUACUGCCGUAUGCCAUGGAAUUUUCUCAACACCUUUCUGGAGGUCCCUGUUUCUUCUCACUGGAAAUGAUCCUUGGGGAGAACAAGGAGUAUGUGUGCUCAAUGGAGACAGACCACAAACUGCUUCACCUUGGUGAUGGGCGCCUCAAUCGUCAUGGAAUGUAUCCGGGCCAUAGAAGAGUGUCGUCUCUGGCUGGAAACUGUGGAGAAAGGGAUGCACAAAUCAGGGUGUGCACAGCCCUGGGCACCUGUCUUGACAGCAGAGGGCUCAGUGUGCUCGGCUGCAUGAUGAAGGGGCAGGAUAGAACUGAGUUUACUGAGCUUCGUUCCCAUCCUAACAAUCCUGGGGUUCUGGCAUAACCAAUUCUGUUUCCUUCAGUUCUAGGCACUAGGAUGCACAUAUGACCCCAUGGACUGAACCUCUGACGUCACAGGCCAGAGAGAAAACAGAGGAAACAAUCUAGCAAGCCAAAGUCAAACAGCCUCUUUUUGUGUCUAUGACAAUAAGCCUUUAUAAUUAUUUAGCUUGCCAUUCUCUAGGAGUAAAAAUGUUCUGGAAGACAAUGCCACACAAUGCUCUUUGUUUCAUAUAUGGCAGGAGCAAUACAUUCAAUUCACCAACAACUAAAAUACACAAAUUUCUGGUUAAAUUUUUCAAGGUACCCUUUGGUGCUUCCCACUAUUAGGUUUAAUCUAGACUGAUUAGGUAAAUAUCUUAAAUGAGGCAGGCAGCAAUUCUUAGGCUGUAAAGUUUGUUAAUUUUUGUUGUUCCUGUCAAGAUAUGGUUCCUUUGUGAUGAGGAGAAGCCCAGACAAUAUAGGCAGGAAAAACAUUAACGUCCAGUCCUGGGUAUCUCCACGAACAAUCCCAUCAGGCUAAAUGCUGCUUUCCAAAGACGUUACAGGACCGGGGGCUGUCCCAGAGACUGAUGUAUCAACCUCAUUUUACCAAUGAAGAAACUGAGGCCCAAGGAGAGACACCGUCCAAGGUUAACCAAUUCACAAGGUCUCAAAUGUUUUAAAUUUGGGGGCCCAACUAAACUUCUUAAAAUUUUGGUGAUUAUAGGAUUGCCAACCUUCCAUUUUAUCCAACAAUGUCAUUAAAACAAAAAUAAAAACUGCUAUUUUCUCACUGUCAUAAAA